CUCCCCCCCUCCGGGAGGUGGGGGCUGGGAGCCAUCCUCGUCUCCGCCCCCUCCCCACCGCGCACUGAGAGAUGAACUGGCAAGAGGUCUGUUUGCCUGGACCCAUCAACAGCUGGGAGACUAAUCAACCACACUGAAAAUGUUUCCGGGAUUGUGGGGGAGGGGUUGUAAUGUAGAUGUUUGAAACAAAUGUGUAUAAAUAAAUGAAUUGUUGUUAACUUA